GAUGAACGCUGGCGGCGUGCCUAAUACAUGCAAGUCGAGCGAACAGACGAGGAGCUUGCUCCUCUGAUGUUAGCGGCGGACGGGUGAGUAACACGUGGAUAACCUACCUAUAAGACUGGGAUAACUUCGGGAAACCGGAGCUAAUACCGGAUAACAUGUUGAACCGCAUGGUUCAACAGUGAAAGACGGUCUUGCUGUCACUUGUAGAUGGAUCCGCGCCGCAUUAGCUAGUUGGUAAGGUAACGGCUUACCAAGGCAACGAUGCGUAGCCGACCUGAGAGGGUGAUCGGCCACACUGGAACUGAGACACGGUCCAGACUCCUACGGGAGGCAGCAGUAGGGAAUCUUCCGCAAUGGGCGAAAGCCUGACGGAGCAACGCCGCGUGAGUGAAGAAGGUCUUCGGAUCGUAAAACUCUGUUAUUAGGGAAGAACAAAUGUGUAAGUAGCUAUGCACGUCUUGACGGUACCUAAUCAGAAAGCCACGGCUAACUACGUG
rnacentral:rRNA from 1 species